CAGCAGCCGCGGUAAUACGAAGGGGGCUAGCGUUGUUCGGAUUUACUGGGCGUAAAGCGCACGUAGGCGGACUUUUAAGUCAGGGGUGAAAUCCCGGGGCUCAACCCCGGAACUGCCUUUGAUACUGGGAGUCUUGAGUUCGAGAGAGGUGAGUGGAAUUGCGAGUGUAGAGGUGAAAUUCGUAGAUAUUCGCAGGAACACCAGUGGCGAAGGCGGCUCACUGGCUCGAUACUGACGCUGAGGUGCGAAAGCGUGGGGAGCAAACAGGAUUAGAGACCCCAGUAGUCCCUGUCUCUUAUAA
rnacentral:rRNA from 1 species